rnacentral:lncRNA from 1 species
GUUUGUAGGACCGGGAGCCAGUUGGUUUGUAGGACCGGGAGCCUGUGGAUUUGUCGGACCGGGAGCCGGUUGGUUUGUAGGGCCCGGAGCCGGUUGCCUUGCUCCCACUGCCACGGGGGAGCCUUCACCUCGCAGCCCCCAUUCAGCCCACACACCUUGGCCCCUGCCCGCAGCCGCCCCCCAGCCCCGCAUCCCGGGGGUCUCACGGGGCAGACAUCUCAUCCCCUUGGGGCAGCAGGGCAGGACCCCCCCAUGGGGCUGGGGGCACCGGACAAGAAGAGGGGAAACGAUGCGGAGAGGAAAAGCAAGUUUAUCUAUUUAGUGGGGCCAG